AGAGUUUGAUCCUGGCUCAGGAUGAACGCUGGCGGCGUGCUUAACACAUGCAAGUCGAGCGAUGAAGUUUCCUUCGGGAAACGGAUUAGCGGCGGACGGGUGAGUAACACGUGGGUAACCUGCCUCAUAGAGUGGAAUAGCCUUCCGAAAGGAAGAUUAAUACCGCAUAACGUUGAAAGAUGGCAUCAUCAUUCAACCAAAGGAGUAAUCCGCUAUGAGAUGGACCCGCGGCGCAUUAGCUAGUUGGUGGGGUAACGGCCUACCAAGGCGACGAUGCGUAGCCGACCUGAGAGGGUGAUCGGCCACAUUGGGACUGAGACACGGCCCAGACUCCUACGGGAGGCAGCAGUGGGGAAUAUUGCACAAUGGGGGAAACCCUGAUGCAGCAACGCCGCGUGAGUGAUGAAGGUUUUCGGAUCGUAAAGCUCUGUCUUUGGGGAAGAUAAUGACGGUACCCAAGGAGGAAGCCACGGCUAACUACGUGCCAGCAGCCGCGGUAAUACGUAGGUGGCGAGCGUUAUCCGGAUUUACAGGGCGUAAAGGGAGCGUAGGCGGAUGAUUAAGUGGGAUGUGAAAUACCCGGGCUCAACUUGGGUGCUGCAUUCCAAACUGGUUAUCUAGAGUGCAGGAGAGGAGAGUGGAAUUCCUAGUGUAGCGGUGAAAUGCGUAGAGAUUAGGAAGAACACCAGUGGCGAAGGCGACUCUCUGGACUGUAACUGACGCUGAGGCUCGAAAGCGUGGGGAGCAAACAGGAUUAGAUACCCUGGUAGUCCACGCCAUAAACGAUGAAUACUAGGUGUGGGGGUUUCAACACCUCCGUGCCGCCGCUAACGCAUUAAGUAUUCCGCCUGGGGAGUACGGUCGCAAGAUUAAAACUCAAAGGAAUUGACGGGGACCCGCACAAGUAGCGGAGCAUGUGGUUUAAUUCGAAGCAACGCGAAGAACCUUACCUACACUUGACAUCCCUUGCAUUACUCUUAAUCGAGGAAAUCCCUUCGGGGACAAGGUGACAGGUGGUGCAUGGUUGUCGUCAGCUCGUGUCGUGAGAUGUUGGGUUAAGUCCCGCAACGAGCGCAACCCUUGUCGUUAGUUACUACCAUUAAGUUGAGGACUCUAGCGAGACUGCCUGGGUUAACCAGGAGGAAGGUGGGGAUGACGUCAAAUCAUCAUGCCCCUUAUGUGUAGGGCUACACACGUGCUACAAUGGCUGGUACAGAGAGAUGCAAUACCGCGAGGUGGAGCCAAACUUUAAAACCAGUCUCAGUUCGGAUUGUAGGCUGAAACUCGCCUACAUGAAGCUGGAGUUACUAGUAAUCGCGAAUCAGAAUGUCGCGGUGAAUACGUUCCCGGGUCUUGCACACACCGCCCGUCA
rnacentral:rRNA from 1 species